UUUAAGUGAACAUAAUUUGAUAUGGCUGAUGAGAUUUAGUCGAAAUCAAGCAAUAUAUGGAUAUUAGUGGCUCAUACCAGUUGUAAUGGAGAUAUUUGGUGGAGUGCGAGCUUCUAAAAUUGUUCAUUGCUACUUGAAUGCGGAUAAUUUUAGCUUCGAUGGGUCUGAGCGUGCUAAGGAUUAUUGUCAGUGUCAUGCUCACAGAGCUUUUUUUUAUGUUAGUUGUACUCUUGAUGGCAUUCUUCGCAUCUCCUCACCUGGCACUAAUGUUUUGGCCUAUUAUAUAGGUGUGCCAUUUGAUAGACAAGGAACAUUGUAGAGAAAGAAUUGGGGGAGAAAGGCAUUAGCACAAACUCUAUUGGCAAUAUUUGUGAGUUGUUUGAAAAUAUGAAAUAAAAUCCUCUGGUUGUUGCCAGUAGAUCUUAUAUGGUUUGAUAUGUGAGACGGCUGUUUAGGUUUGAAUUGAGCCUAGUAAAGAAUGACUCAUAUUUAUUGUCAAGACUUAAUAGUUUUUACUUCAAAUCUGUAUACUUAAGGAUUCACCAUUUUCUUAAACAUUGGCACAGAUAACGGGAAAAACUCUGCGAAUCUAACGCUCUGUUUUUCUUUUACCAUAAUGGAUAAAGAAAAUGGUUUUGUUUAUGUUGUUUAUGAUAUCCAGAGGAAGGAUAAAUUACGACUAAUUCUGCUAAUAUACUUUAAUAUAGUUGUCUGGGGACAAAUAAAUUGAAUGCUUCCUAAAAUAUAUAAUUUAAACUAUAGAGCUUGUUUACAGGGGCGAAAAUGUAGGCGCCAUGAAAUGAUAUCUGAACUUGUUGAUUGUAAGAGAGGCAAUGCUGGUGAUGAUCGUAAUCUGCCAGGGUAAGAAGACGUGUAAGAUAAUGAAGAAGAAUUUUCAUUUUGAAAGUAUCUAGGUUUGAUUAAGUAGGGGUAGUAGGGCUAACAUGGUUGGUUUACGCUUUUGUUGGAGAUUUGUUGGAACAUCCAUCUGUGUUUGUUGCUUUUAAAGAGAACUAAAUUACCCCUAGCUUUAAAAACCCAUAGCCUUACAACAUCAUGCGCUGCUUAAAUUUUCCUAAGAAUUAUCACUUCCAAUACUCUCAUCAGGAAAGAUGCAAGUUGAUGGACACAACUCAACAGACACCAAUCUCUAACAUGCUAUAAAAUCCUUAGCGAAGAAUCGUCACCUCCAACUGUCACAAAUUCGACAGUUUCCAAUAGGUACUAUUUCUUACACCUAAUCCAUACUUACUGCCUUAGAAUAAAACAAAUUUUACACUGUGUUUGUAUUUUUUUUUUGUGCAGAAUGCAAAUGGACAGAUGUUGUCUCAAUCUUCCAAUUAAAUCCAUAACGAAUAGUAGUCGCCUCCAAUGCUCCCAAACUUGUCAAUUACCAAGAGGUAAGCCUUGUUUCACAUCCUUAACCAUACUGCAUAUCGAAUUUAUAUUUAUAAAUUCAAGAUUACAAAUUUACUUUUUUGUCAGCUAAAAUUUCCUCCCCUAUAGGCGAGUUUUAAGUCAAUCUACCAACUCCGUUUUUCUAAUUCUCUUUUUUGUUAUGUUUGGCUAUUUAUAGCUGAAAGAUGAAUGACUCCCGAUGGUUCCUGUUUUUU
rnacentral:lncRNA from 1 species